AGGAUAAACGCUGGCGGCGUGCCUAACACAUGCAAGUCGAACGUCCUUUCCCGCAAGGGGAAGGGAGUGGCGGACGGGUGAGUAUCACGUGGGUUAUCUGCCUUUAGGUGAGGAAUACCGGCGAGAAAUCGCCGACAAUACCGCAUAUCUUUCGUAAGAAAGAAAGCUUCGUAAGAGGUGCCUGAGGAGGAGCCUGCGCCCGAUUAGUUGGUUGGUGGGGUAAUGGCCUACCAAGACGACGAUCGGUAGCUGGUCUGAGAGGAUGAUCAGCCACACUGGGAUUGAGAACGGCCCAGACUCCUACGGGGGGCAGCAGUGAGGAAUUUUCGGCAAUGGGGGCAACCCUGACCGAGCAACGCCGCGUGCAGGACGACGGCCUUCGGGUUGUAAACUGCUUUUCUCGUGGGACGAGCAAGGACGGUACCAGAGGAAGAACGCCCCGGCUAACUACGCGCCAGCACGCCGC
rnacentral:rRNA from 1 species